GAUGAACGCUGGCGGCGUGCCUAAUACAUGCAAGUCGAGCGAACAGACGAGGAGCUUGCUCCUCUGACGUUAGCGGCGGACGGGUGAGUAACACGUGGAUAACCUACCUAUAAGACUGGGAUAACUUCGGGAAACCGGAGCUAAUACCGGAUAAUAUAUUGAACCGCAUGGUUCAAUAGUGAAAGACGGUUUUGCUGUCACUUAUAGAUGGAUCCGCGCCGCAGUAGCUAGUUGGUAAGGUAACGGCUUACCAAGGCGACGAUGCGUAGCCGACCUGAGAGGUUGAUCGGCCACACUGGAACUGAGACACGGUCCAGACUCCUACGGGAGGCAGCAGUAGGGAAUCUUCCGCAAUGGGCGAAAGCCUGACGGAGCAACGCCGCGUGAGUGAUGAAGGUCUUCGGAUCGUAAAACUCUGUUAUUAGGGAAGAACAAAUGUGUAAGUAACUAUGCACGUCUUGACGGUACCUAAUCAGAAAGCCACGGCUAACUACGUG
rnacentral:rRNA from 1 species